rnacentral:tRNA from 1 species
GUUAAGGUGGCAGAUAUUUAAUUGUGGUAAUUUUAGAAGUUACAAAUGGUUUUUAACCCUUUAAUA